rnacentral:rRNA from 1 species
UACCAGAAAGGGACGGCUAACUACGUGCCAGCAGCCGCGGUAAUACGUAGGUCCCGAGCGUUGUCCGGAUUUAUUGGGCGUAAAGCGAGCGCAGGCGGUUUGAUAAGUCUGAAGUUAAAGGCUGUGGCUCAACCAUAGUUCGCUUUGGAAACUGUCAAACUUGAGUGCAGAAGGGGAGAGUGGAAUUCCAUGUGUAGCGGUGAAAUGCGUAGAUAUAUGGAGGAACACCGGUGGCGAAAGCGGCUCUCUGGCUUGUAACUGACGCUGAGGCUCGAAAGCGUGGGGAGCAAACAGGAUUAGAUACCCUGGUAGUCCACGCCGUAAACGAUGAGUGCUAGGUGUUAGACCCUUUCCGGGGUUUAGUGCCGCAGCUAACGCAUUAAGCACUCCGCCUGGGGAGUACGACCGCAAGGUUGAAACUCAAAGGAAUU